AAACGUAGUCCAACAACGAAAGAGCCCUGAAGCUCAAGCGGAGCCCGCUGGCCGCAGGGGCCGCACCACGCCCCAGACCCUGGAGUUUCCGGGUGCGCAGACCCUUGCCAUCAGCAGAGGCUGCCGCUGCGCGUCCCCUAGGCGCGGAAGAGGCGGCUGGUGGUCCCUGACGGCAAGGUUUUAUACAUUACGAAUAAAGCUGGCACGUUUCCAUUUCUCCUGGGCAAAUAUUUAGAAGAAAAGUUGCUGGGUAAUUGGUGGAGACAAGGUUUCGCCACAUUGACUGGGCUGGUCUGGAACUCCUGAGCUCAAGCAACCGGCCCUCCUUGACCUCCCAAAGUGCUAGGAUUACAGGUGUGAACCACCGUGCCCGGCCCUACUUUCUAUCGAAGUAGAAUAGAGUCACCCAGGCUGGAAUGCAGUGGCAUUGUCAUGGCUCACCGCAGUCUCAAACUCCUGGGCCCAAGUGAUCCUCCCACUCAGCCUCCUGAGUAGCUGGGACUAGAGGCACAUGCAACCACAUGCAGCUAUUUUUUUUUAAAUUUUCUGUAGAGACAGGGUCUCACUGUGUUGCUCAGUUUGUCUCAAACUCCUGGGCUCAAGUGAUCCUCCUGCCUUGGCCUCACAAAGUACUAGGAUUACAGGCAUGAGUCACCACACUCAGCUGAACUCUACUCUUUAUGUUCAGGAAAGCACUGGAGAAGAGAGAGGACAAGAGAAACAGGUCCGUAGUGACAGGAGCCUAGGAAUAGAGCAGGCCUUCAGUCUUGGUGAAAAAAUAAAUGGUAUUCUAAGCCUUCCUUUGGACAUUAA
rnacentral:lncRNA from 1 species